UAGGGAAUCUUCCACAAUGGACGCAAGUCUGAUGGAGCAACGCCGCGUGAGUGAAGAAGGUCUUCGGAUCGUAAAGCUCUGUUGUUGGUGAAGAAGGAUAGAGGCAGUAACUGGUCUUUAUUUGACGGUAAUCAACCAGAAAGUCACGGCUAACUACGUGCCAGCAGCCGCGGUAAUACGUAGGUGGCAAGCGUUGUCCGGAUUUAUUGGGCGUAAAGCGAGCGCAGGCGGAAUGAUAAGUCUGAUGUGAAAGCCCACGGCUCAACCGUGGAACUGCAUCGGAAACUGUCAUUCUUGAGUGCAGAAGAGGAGAGUGGAACUCCAUGUGUAGCGGUGGAAUGCGUAGAUAUAUGGAAGAACACCAGUGGCGAAGGCGGCUCUCUGGUCUGCAACUGACGCUGAGGCUCGAAAGCAUGGGUAGCGAACAGGAUUAGAUACCCUGGUAGUCCAUGCCGUAAACGAUGAGCGCUAGGUGUUGGGGACUUUCCGGUCCUCAGUGCCGCAGCAAACGCAUUAAGCGCUCCGCCUGGGGAGUACGACCGCAAGGU
rnacentral:rRNA from 1 species